AGUUGAUAACUGAUAAGCGAUAUCAUAUUAUUCAUAUUAUUAUUCUUAUACAUGAAUAAUUAAUUUAUUUCUAUAAAUUUAAAUUAAUUAAUACAAUUUUAUUUUAAAUACUUACCUACCUACAUUUUCCAAUAUUUUUUAUGCGAAUAAGUUUAGUUGACUGAUAGCCAGUAAUUUCAACUUUCAAGCCUUCGUCUAACUGUGCUUUUAUCAACAACAACUCAACAUGUGAUUAUAUCGAUUCAUUUGGAUAUAAAUCAAUUCGAUGAAAUGAGUGAAUCGAUACCCGUCAUCAUAUACUUAGGUAAAUUAUCAAGAAUAUACUUAACAUGAUCAAAACCGUAUCUGAUGUGUACGACCUCACCUAUCCUAGUCCGAUCACCCUGCGAGAAAUCUCAUCUAUCACAGUUGCGGCGGAUUUAUGGCGUAAAGAACGUUUGAAGAAGAACAUCACGCUGGAAAAUUUGAUUCCCUAUUUGCCAUCAGCGAUUUACAAUUUACUGGAGGAAUACAACCGUACAUUGAGAGACUCAAUUUGGUCAUGGCAGCAAUACCACUCAUACUGUCGAGUAUUCAAUUGUAGUUGGACGGAGAUUUUGAGCCGAUUCAACGAUUUCGCUUGGGACUGGGAUGGUACCAUUCACGAAGAGCUGCCUACAAACAGUCUAUUACCAAGACGUGCAUGUUGAAUAAAUUGCAUACUCGACAGUUUCAAGGUGUGUACUGUGUUUUAAAUUUUAUCAACUAAUUAAUCAAUUUUUUCAUCUUCAAAUUGAGAUAUCGAGAAGAUGGCUUGUUGGAUCAAAUAAUGAAACAAAUAAAUACACAAGAAGUUUGUUUUGCACUUAAGAUAUAUUUUAUUCAAUAUUACUCGUAUGUACAAUGUUUGCAUAAAAUAUUUUUACCUACACAAGCUUAUGUUUUAUACUUAAUUUUAAAACAUAGAUACCUACUUAAUUAAAUGGAUGUUUCAUCAUUAAUAUAUUCUAACAUUUUAUAGUGUCCAUAGGCUAAACUAUCAAUAUUAUUAUAAAAGUAACGCUUAUCACAAUAAUUAAAAAGAGCUCGUUUUUGUUGUACAAUAGUAAAAAUUUCGUGAUUGAUAGAUUUGAAAAGUAGUUGAUCUUUUCUACAUGUGAUGUUUUCAAAUAAACAUUGGUAAAAAUCUUCGAAACUCAUUUUUUUCACUAUGUCUGUUUUUACUCCCUUUAUUUUUUUAAUAUUGUCUUCUUUAUUUAAUAAAUCUAAACUGUAAACUUUUGGACAUAGGGAGAUGAAUCGUUUACAUUGAUCAGGAUAAAGUUCAUCUUUAAAAUAUCCAGGGACUGUGUUAUUCAAAUUUGUGUAACAUGGAUGAUUAAUAGGGUAAUUGCUAGUAUCAAAAUAUUGUUCACAAGUUUUUUCAAUGUAUGGAUAAACAUCGUCUGUCUGUACUGAUAAUAUGAAACUAUCAGUAUCCAUGUAUAAUAAUUGUGGGAAUGGAAGACCUUUAAAAAUUUCAGGUAAAUUUUCAUAAUAAAAUUGAUACAUAAAAUUUCGAGAUAGUUCCAAAAUACUUAUACCAACAUAAAUGGGCUUGUUUAAAAUAACCUUAGACUUGAAUGAAUGAACACCUACAAGAUUUUCUGAGAAAAUUACUGAACUUUUGAAUGAGGGCUUUUUAAUUGCAGUAUUCAAUUUUUUUUCAUUACAAAUUAAUCUGAAAUUCAUGUAUUUACGUUGAUUUUCUAUAGUUUUUCCAAAUACA